UGUUGAGUCAGUGGUGAAGCUUAAGGGUUUGGACAUUGAUACCAUCCAGCAGCAUUAUACAGUGUAAAAAAACGUGCAAUAACAUUGCUUGACAAGGAAAGGGCAAAGUUCAAUGAUGAACCCAAAUCAAGAAAGCAAAGAAGGAUAUAUAGUUAAAGCUUCCUAGACAGAGAAGAAAUGUCAAUGCCAUAGUCCUCCUAAUCUAUAUAUUUUCUUUUU
rnacentral:misc_RNA from 1 species